GUGUUUAUGAAAAUGUUUAUCUUAAACAGAUACACACCUUUAGCAAAUAUAGUACAAGUGUUCAGUUUUUACUUACUAUCUCAAUAUCUUGGGCUCACUAUACAUGCUACCCUUCAACUAGAUAAGAGCCUUUGUGGCUUUUCUCUUGCGUUUGAAAUAUUUCUUUCAGUGUUUUAGGUUCUUAAAAAAAAAAAAUAAUUCCUAUAACUGAUUUUCAAUUUUCAAAUUCCACCACCAUUGUCAUACCCUAAUCCAAGUACGUACACGUGAUAAGAAACAAUCCAGAAAUCCAACAAAUUAAAGCAAUAUUUACAUACCCCAAGGUUCUUCCAAGCAACUGCAUUUAGGCUUGGCCUGCCCUUUUCUGUAUUAUACUUGCCUAUUGCACUAAAACAUAAACCAAACACAAUGAGACUGCAUCAUGAAAAGUUGAACCAGAAGAAAACAUUAUUCCAUAAAUCUCGGUGCAUGCAUAUAUAGUUUUGUUACAAGUUACCUAUUGAGAACAGACUUCCAUUCUGCCGAGGCUAUAGGUAACCGCCUCCUCAGGGGAUCCAUGUAAUACACCUUUUCUUUUUCCGGCUCCACAACAGUAAGCACCCAAUGCUGACUGUAUGACAAAGUUACCAGAUUUUGAUCAAAUAAGGCUCAUGAAUAAAAUAAAAAAAUAAAAAAUACUCUGCGUUAUAGCCACUUACUCUGAGUUAUAUGGCACCAUGAAAAGCUGUCCAGGUUUGAGGUUAUGAACCUAGCACAUAAGUGUUCAACCUUAGUCCUUACUGUUCCACAACUUUCUCCAACCAUAGCAGGGUCAACAAAGGCAAUCAUAUCCAGCAUUUUGGUGUUUUUCAGGACAUCAUACAGGUACCUAAAAACCCAAUAUAACAUCCAGAUUCUAAUCAGCAACCAAAUUCACAUGGAUACACCAAGAAUAGUCCAUUUGACAGCAAAUAUUACCUUUGAUAUGCCACUAUGCAGUUCCCAAUGAUCUCUGUCAUGCUUGCCAUUCUGUGCAAAUCAGAAUCAAAUAUCCAUGAUUUCCGAGUGUAUCCAAACACCUCAGGCUCAAUAAAAAACUCAAGACUCUUAUCAUUUUUGAGCUCAUUUGCACCCCACAUGCACAACAUCUUCAACUGGAUUGGUGCAUUAAGUGCAUCUGCCUUCU
rnacentral:lncRNA from 1 species